rnacentral:rRNA from 1 species
UGGGGAAUAUUGGACAAUGGGCGCAAGCCUGAUCCAGCAAUACCGCGUGUGUGAAGAAGGCCUUAGGGUUGUAAAGCACUUUCAAUGGGGAGGAAAACCUGCCGGUCAAUACCCGGCAGCUUGACAUUACCUUUAGAAGAAGCACCGGCUAACUCCGUGCCAGCAGCCGCGGUAAUACGGAGGGUGCGAGCGUUAAUCGGAAUUACUGGGCGUAAAGCGUGCGUAGGUGGUUCGUUAAGUCAGAUGUGAAAGCCCCGGGCUCAACCUGGGAACUGCAUUUGAAACUGGCGGACUAGAGUUUGGUAGAGGGGAGUGGAAUUUCAGGUGUAGCGGUGAAAUGCGUAGAUAUCUGAAGGAACACCAGUGGCGAAGGCGACUCCCUGGACUAAAACUGACGCUGAGGUACGAAAGCGUGGGUAGCAAACAGG